AAUAAAGUGCCUGAAAAAAGGAUUAUUUUGAUAGAAUAAAUUAUAUAAUAUUUAUUAUUAUCUUUAUUA
rnacentral:tRNA from 1 species